rnacentral:rRNA from 1 species
GUGAGUCGGCCCCUAAGGCGAGGCAGAGAUGCGUAGCUGAUGGGAAACAGGUCAAUAUUCCUGUACCGAUGUGUAGUGCGAUGUGGGGACGGAGAAGGUUAGCUCAGCCGGGUGUUGGAUGUCCCGGUUCAAGCCUGUAGUCGUGCCUGGUAGGCAAAUCCGCCGGGCUUAGAUGAGGGGUGAUAACGAGGCGGCUUGCCGCCGAAGUGAGUGAUACCCUGCUUCCAGGAAAAGCCACUAAGCUUCAGCUACACACGACCGUACCGCAAACCGACACUGGUGCGCGAGAUGAGUAUUCUAAGGCGCUUGAGAGAACUCUGGAGAAGGAACUCGGCAAAUUGACACCGUAACUUCGGAAGAAGGUGUGCCUUUAGUAGGUGAACCAGUACAUGGGGAGCCCAAUGAGGCCGCAGAGAAUCGGUGGCUGCAACUGUUUAAUAAAAACACAGCACUCUGCAAAGACGAAAGUCGACGUAUAGGGUGUGACGCCUGCCCGGUGCUGGAAGAUUAAAUGAUGGGGUGCAAGCUCUUGAUUGAAGUCCCAGUAAACGGCGGCCGUAACUAUAACGGUCCUAAGGUAGCGAAAUUCCUUGUCGGGUAAGUUCCGACCUGCACGAAUGGCGUAAUGAUGGCCACACUGUCUCCUCCAGAGACUCAGCGAAGUUGAAAUGUUUGUGAUGAUGCAAUCUCCCCGCGGAAAGACGGAAAGACCCCAUGAACCUUUACUGUAGCUUUACAUUGGACUUUGAACAGAUCUGUGUAGGAUAGGUGGGAGGCUUUGAAGCGGUGCCGCUAGGUGUCGUGGAGCCAACCUUGAAAUACCACCCUGGUGUGUUUGAGGUUCUAACCUUGGCCCGUGAUCCGGGUUGGGGACAGUGUAUGGUGGGCAGUUUGACUGGGGCGGUCUCCUCCCAAAGUGUAACGGAGGAGUUCGAAGGUACGCUAAAUACGGUCGGAAAUCGUGUUGAUAGUGCAUUGGCAUAAGCGUGCUUGACUGCGAGACUGACAAGUCGAGCAGGUACGAAAGUAGGACAAAGUGAUCCGGUGGUUCUGUAUGGAAGGGCCAUCGCUCAACGGAUAAAAGGUACUCUGGGGAUAACAGGCUGAUACCGCCCAAGAGUUCAUAUCGACGGCGGUGUUUGGCACCUCGAUGUCGGCUCAUCUCAUCCUGGGGCUGUAGCCGGUCCCAAGGGUAUGGCUGUUCGCCAUUUAAAGAGGUACGUGAGCUGGGUUUAAAACGUCGUGAGACAGUUUGGUCCCUAUCUUCCGUGGGCGCUGCAAGAUUGAGAGAGCCUGCUCCUAGUACGAGAGGACCGGAGUGGACGCACCGCUGGUGUAUCGGUUGUCAUGCCAAUGGCAUUGCCGAGUAGCUAAGUGCGGAAGAGAUAACCGCUGAAAGCAUCUAAGCGGGAAACUCGUCUCAAGAUGAGUCUUGCCGGGGCCUUGAGCCCCCUGAAGAGUCGUUCGAGACCAGGACGUUGAUAGGCUGGGUGUGGAAGCGCAGUAAUGCGUUAAGCUAACCAGUACUAAUUGCUCGUGAGGCUUGACCCU